AUUAGUCAUUUGUAUCCAUGUAUUGCUGCAAGUGUGUACAGAUCUAAACAACCCACCAAAGCAAGGGCAUAGCCCAAAGUCAUCCAACCCAGGAGCUCAACCACGCAAUGGGUGCUGAGGAGAAGUUGCCAGCUAAUUUCCCCAUUAUGGCUCGAGCAGGAUGGAUGCAAACAGUCCUCAAAAGGCUUGCAAGCCCCAGGAUCUCCAUGAGCCUUUCACUAGGACUGGAGAGGAACAAGAGCAGGCAGAGGGACCUGCCUGGGGACCAAGUGGAGAGCAUGACAUCUGUCGAGGACCAGGAUUCGAUGUGUGCGGCCAGCCCAGCCCCACCGAGUCCUGCCGCCUCUGGGAUGCCCAGUGCGCCUGGUGCUCCUGGUUCGGUCCCUUGAGCUGAUGGGGCUCCAAAGGUCUCCUGAUGCUGUAGUUUCUUACAAACUUUCUUUUUUAUAAGUCC